GGGUCGCAGUUAAUGACUACCGCCUCCAGUGUACAAUGGUCUCCAAUAUGAGUAAAAACUAUCAUUUGGACUAGGUGAGAUGCCUUUGGUCCAUC
rnacentral:sRNA from 12 species